AUAAGUAAGUGCGUGCAGCCUAGAGCGAUUCCUGGGCUAUCCACGAUAGCCACGAUGUGCUCACUGGCUAGGCGCUGGCCUCCCGUCAUCUGCACUGUUGGUCCACCUGUCACCAUGUAACUGGCUGAAACGAGUGACGGAAACAAAAUCCAGGGGAAAAUGAGUUCGUGAGGACACUGAGCCCGAUCCCUACCCCAUUCCCUCGCGCCGCCGCCUCUCUCCUUCUCUCCUUGCUGCCGCCGCAUCCCGCGCCGCCGCGCCCCAUCCGCUUGUGCUCCCCCUCACUCACUGUGCCUCGUCCUCAAGCUCCUCCGCCCCCAUAUGCCGCUGCACUCGCGGGCGCAUCGUCGACGGCAGAAGUGAAGCAGCCCCCGCACCACCACGCCGACGAUGGUGGCAGAUCCCCUUCCGUGAGAAAUCAUGGAAGCUGUUCGACGGGGCACUGAAUCUCCUGCGGUCCUCAAGCAUCCGUCGGUGGCUUCAUCAUGGCCGAAGGAGAGACAGUAGACUCCGGUGAGAAGCCCCUCAACGAGUUCGGCUACAAGCAAGAUCUCUGGAGGGAUGGUAUUUCUAUACGGCCACGUUUAUUCCUUCAUAUUUUGUGCUUGUUCGUUACAUAUGGGAGGUAGAUUUUGAACCUGUCCAAUAGUGGAGCGCUACAAUUUUAGAAGCUGAUUAAUACCCCUCAGUGCUGAAUUCUAUAAUACGGUAAUCUGAGUGUUGAAAACAAGCUCAUCUAUGUCAGCGUGUUUUUUUCACAUUAAUAAAUGAAUGGCGUCGUGUUUAUUAUUUCUAUACAGGUAUCUCAGAGGUGCAGCUUCAGUUUUGCUGCAUUUAGAUUUAUCCCAUAUAAUCCAUUAAUAUACAAUAUACUUGUUAUAUAUUUACUCUCAUUCUUUCUUUCCUAAGAAUCUGAUGCAAAAGUCAUUUAUUUUCCAAGCCGAUUGAGCUACUCCCUCCGAUCCAUAUUAAUUGACUUCAAGAUGGAUGUAUCUAGAACUAAAAUGUGUCUAGAUACAUCCAUUUUAGAGUCAAUUAAUAUGAACCGGAGGGAGUACUAACAUAUGGUGGAGCAAAUAAUAACAAUUAUUAAAUGUGCAAACGUGAAGCUCAUAUUGGAGGUUAGCACGAUGACCAUUCUCCCAGUCCUUUUUACUAGCUUGUGGAUUAGUUUAUCCAUGUUUGUUAGGCUGGAAAUUCGAGUAACUUGGGUUUCUGCAGUUUGUCCUGGCUUGGGCCAUGCUUCUGAGAACCCAGAGCUUCCAAAUGUGAUGAAUGAAAAGGAAAUUAUUUUUCUUGGGCCACCAUCAGUUGUGAUUUCUGCAUUAGGCCAUAAGACUGGUUCUUCUCUUAUGAGCAAGCAGCAGUAGCUCCAACUCUUCCAUCGAGUGGAUCACAUAUAUGCAUUCUCCUAUUUUUGUAUAGUUCUGCUCUGGGUUUUUUCCUUGCUUAAAUAUAAAUUCUGAACCAACUUAUAGCUCAAGUUCGUACUAUCUUUCUGAAUUCAUUUAUAAGUUUUUCAUCAUCUUCUAUAUUUACAGAUUCGCCGAAUAGAUGACCAAGGCAAUCGAUUCGAGGAGAGACCUGCGGAUUUGGACUUGUGGGAGCGUGUCUCUAAUGGCUUGACUGAGGAAGGAUUUGGUUGAUUGGAAGGAUCACAACCUGCAGCUCUACUGGUGGAAACAAAAUGAUGACGCGGAAUUUUACUGCUCAAGAAUUAAUUAAGUUUUACAAAAUUUUGAGGGCACAUGUUCUUCUGGUGGAAUGACCCUGCAGGGCUCAGGCGUACACCAUAGCGAAUUUUAUGAAGCUAUACUUGAAUUUGAACACUUCCAGAUUUCUCUGAGCUCGAUUGUUUCCAAAAAAAAAUGUGCUUUUGUUCUUCUCUUGAGGUGGCAAUUAAGAUUGAAAUAGCUCAUAAGCAAUAAAUGUCCUUGAUUUCUUUUUA